rfam:Triticum urartu cultivar G1812 contig27839, whole genome shotgun sequence.
UUUGUACUCCCUCCGUCCCAUCCCACUUGUCUUAAAUUUGUCUAAAUACGGAUGUAUCUAAUUACAUUUUAGUGUUAGAUACAUUUGUAUCUAAACAAAUGUAAGACCAGAAUUUUGGGACGGAGGGAAUACUAC